GCGGGAAUAGCUCAGCUGGAAGAGCGCAACCUUGCCAAGGUUGAGGUCGCGGGUUCGAACCCCGUUUCCCGCUCCA
rnacentral:tRNA from 1 species